rnacentral:rRNA from 1 species
UGGGGAAUUUUGGACAAUGGGGGAAACCCUGAUCCAGCCAUCCCGCGUGUGCGAUGAAGGCCUUCGGGUUGUAAAGCACUUUUGGCAGGAAAGAAACGUCAUGGGUUAAUACCCCGUGAAACUGACGGUACCUGCAGAAUAAGCACCGGCUAACUACGUGCCAGCAGCCGCGGUAAUACGUAGGGUGCAAGCGUUAAUCGGAAUUACUGGGCGUAAAGCGUGCGCAGGCGGUUCGGAAAGAAAGAUGUGAAAUCCCAGAGCUCAACUUUGGAACUGCAUUUCUAACUACCGGGCUAGAGUGUGUCAGAGGGAGGUGGAAUUCCGCGUGUAGCAGUGAAAUGCGUAGAUAUGCGGAGGAACACCGAUGGCGAAGGCAGCCUCCUGGGAUAACACUGACGCUCAUGCACGAAAGCGUGGGGAGCAAACAGG